rnacentral:ncRNA from 1 species
CGAAGGCUUGGUCCUGACUUCACUAUCAACUUCAACUAAACUUAUACAUGCAAGUCUCCGCACUCCUGUGAAAAUGCCCUUAUCCCCCCGCCCGGGAAUAAGGAGCUGGCAUCAGGCACGCACCUGCAGCCCAAGACGCCUUGCUUAGCCACACCCCCAAGGGAACUCAGCAGUAAUAGAUAUUAAGCCAUGAGUGAAAACUCGACUUAGUUAAAGUAAAUUAGGGCCGGUUAAACUCGUGCCAGCUACCGCGGUUAUACGAGAGGCCCAAGCUGAUAGAUACGGCGUAAAGAGUGGUUAAGGAGAACCUAAACUAAAGCGGAACCCCCCCCAAGGCUGUUAUACGCACCCGGGGACAAGAAAACCCACCACGAAAGUGGCUUUAAUAACCCCGAAUCCACGAAAGCUAUGUCACAAACUGGGAUUAGAUACCCCACUAUGCCUAGCCCUAAACAUUGAUGGCACCCUACACCGCUAUCCGCCCGGGAACUACGAGCAUCAGCUUAAAACCCAAAGGACUUGGCGGUGCUUUAAACCCAUCUAGAGGAGCCUGUUCUAGAAUCGAUAAUCCCCGUUCAACCUCACCCCCCCUUGUUUUUCCCGCCUAUAUACCGCCGUCGUCAGCUUACCCUGUGAAGGUAAGAUAGUAAGCAAAGUUGAUAUAAUCUAAAACGUCAGGUCAAGGUGUAGCAUAUGGGGCGGGAAGAAAUGGGCUACAUUCCCUGCCCCAGGGAACACGAAAGAUGAAAUGAAAUUCUCAUCCGAAGGAGGAUUUAGCAGUAAGUAGAAAGCAGAGAGUUCAACUGAAACCGGCCCUAAAGCGCGCACACACCGCCCGUCACUCUCCCCAAAACCCACGAAUAGAUAACUAAUAAGUUAAUAAACCUUUAAGGGGAGGCAAGUCGUAACAUGGUAAGUGUACCGGAAGGUGUACUUGGAAGAAU